UUUGGCUCGGCCGCGACGUUCUUCUUCUGGGGCAAGUGGCUUGCCAAGCUUUCGGGCGUCGACCCCACGGCUCAAAACGUUGAGGUCAAUGUCCAUAAGACCGAAUGGAUGGCCCUCAACACCAUCGCCGCGCUGCUGAUUCUUUGCUGCGUGGCGUUUCCGGUUAUCUCGAGCGGUCUGGUGUCGCCUUACUUGGCCAUGGUGUUUGGCCGCGUGCCGUACGUUAUCGGCAAGGACGCCAUGUAUCUGAUGGUGGUUAUCGUGGCUUUUAUCGCCGUGGUGCUGCUGACGUCAUUCCGCGUGAGCAACAAACCGCACGUCAACGUGUACCUUUCGGGCGUGGGAACCGACAAAUAUCGCCAUUUCCGCGGCUCGAUGGGACACGAGGUGAAGGCCGAAAAGCGCAAUUGGUACUCGGAGGACGCCCUUGGCGAGAAGCGUAUUGGCCCCGCGGGUAGCGUCGUAUGCUGCAGCAUUAUCUUGUUUGCGCUGCUGUGUUGCGCAUGGAUUGGGCCCGAGCGGCUUGCCAUGAGCGCGCCCUCGGUGCUGCGCGGCAAGUAUUUCGAAGGUUCGGGCGUCGUGGGCAUCUUUAUUGGCACCGUGGCGUUUGCCUUGCUGGCGCCGCUUGCGGGCGGCUUGAUCGACGGCAUCGACCGCAAACUUUCGGCUCGCAUGCAGGGCCGCGUGGGCCCGCGCCUGCUGCAGCCCUUCUACGACGUUGCCAAGCUGCUGCGCAAGGCCCCUGCCAGCGUAAACACCAUGGACGAUACCUAUAUGGCGUGCGCGCUCAUCUUUACCGUCGUGGGCGGCGGCAUCUUUGUGUCGGGCUCCAACACGCUGCUGUGCGCUUUUAUGGUUACGCUCGCCGCGAUCUUUGUGGUGCUGGCGUCCGCCUCGACGCAAAGCCCGUUUGCCCAGGUCGGUGCCGACCGCGAGUUGCUGCAGGUCAUGAGCUACGAGCCCGCCGUUCUGCUGAUGAGCGUGGGCCUGUACCUUGCCACCGAUAGCUUUGAUUCCAUCGCCGUGACCGGACAGUCGGCGCCCAUCAUCGUGUACAGCGCGCCCAUUUUCUUGGCGCUGCUUGCGGUGCUCACCAUCAAGCUACGCAAGUCGCCGUUCGACCUUUCGUACUCGCAUCACGCGCAUCAGGAGAUUGUCCAGGGCGUCGCCACCGAGAUGAGCGGCGGCACGCUGGCCAAGAUGACCCUUAUGCGCUGGUGCGAGAGCGUGCUGUUUUUGAUGUGGGUGGGCAUGUUCUUUGUUUGGGACAACCCGGUGAGCUGGGUCGUAGCCCUGGUCGUGAUGGCCGCGACGUAUUUUGUCGAGGUGCUGAUCGACAACACCUUCGCACGCAGCACCUGGCGCAGCUGCUUUAAGCUCGGCUGGGGCGUGGCGCUGGUGUUUGGCCUGCUCAACCUUAUGCCCAUCCUCGUCGACGUGUUUAUUUAGGAGGCGGCAUCCAUGGAUCAUAAAAUGUCGCGCUCGCCGUGGGUUAUUCAUUACGACGGCUCGAGCUGCAACGGAUGCGAUAUCGAGGUGCUGGCCUCGCUCACGCCGCUGUUCGAUGCGGAGCGCUUUGGCGUGGUCAACACCGGCAACCCCAAGCAUGCGGAUAUCUUUUUGGUGACGGGGUCGGUCAAUGCCCAGAACCUGCCCGUCGUGCGUCAGAUUUACAACCAGAUGCUCGAGCCCAAGUGCGUGGUGGCCUGCGGUAUCUGCGCAUGCUCGGGCGGCGUAUUCCGCGAUGCCUACAACGUGAUCGGCGGCGUGGACCGCGCGAUUCCCGUGGACGUGUACGCGCCCGGGUGCGCCAUUCGCCCCGAGACGGUGAUCGAUGCCAUCGUGGAGGCGUGCGGCAUCCUGGACCAGAAGGAGACCGUGUUGCGCGCCGGUGGCGAUCCGCUCACCGUGGGCGGUGCCGCUACCUGGGACGGUGGCGUUGAGCUGGGCGAGGACGGGUUUGUGGCUGCGGGGGCCGGGACUGACGGUGCCGGUGACGCGCCUGCCGGGAAGCCUGCUGCGCCCGCCGCUGGCGACGCACCUGUUGAGACGCCCGCCGCUGCAAAGGAGGCCGAGUAAUGCAAAAGGCUAUCUAUACCACCGUUGGGAUCGAUCCGGAGGCGCCAGCCCCCGGGGAGCCGCCCUUGGAAUACUGCCCUCGCGCGACCGGCGUCCUAACCCGAGGCCGUCGACCGGCUCGGGGACCGUGCCAGGCGGGCAGUUUGACUGGGGCGGUCGCCUCCUAAAGGGUAACGGAGGCGCGCGAAGGUCCGCUCGGGACGGUCGGCAACCGUCCUUUUGAAUGCAAGAGUACAAGCGGGCUUGACUGCGAGGCCCACAAGCCGAGCAGGUGCGAAAGCAGGCUCUAGUGAUCCGGCGGCCCCGAGUGGGUGGGCCGUCGCUCAACGGAUAAAAGGUACUCCGGGGAUAACAGGCUGAUCUUGCCCAAGAGUCCACAUCGACGGCAAGGUUUGGCACCUCGAUGUCGGCUCAUCGCAUCCUGGGGCUGGAGCAGGUCCCAAGGGUACGGCUGUUCGCCGUUUAAAGCGGUACGCGAGCUGGGUUCAGAACGUCGUGAGACAGUUCGGUCCCUAUCCUCCGUGGGCGCAGGAGAAUCGAUGGAGGCUGCCCCCAGUACGAGAGGACCGGGGUGGACGCACCUCCGGUGAACCGGUUGUCGACCAACGGCACGGCCGGGUAGCCGCGUGCGGCGCGGAUAACCGCUGAAGGCAUCUAAGCGGGAAGCCGUUCCAGGGAUUAGUUCUCCUUCCGGUAAGGGCCCAGGUAGACUACCUGGUCGAUAGACGGCAGGUGCAAGGACGGCGACGUCCUCAGCCGAGCCGCACUAAUCGCCCGAGCUCUUCCGGA
rnacentral:rRNA from 1 species